UAUCAGCCUAGAGAGUUCUUUCUUGC
rnacentral:piRNA from 1 species